UACGUAGGGUGCGAGCGUUGUCCGGAAUUAUUGGGCGUAAAGAGCUCGUAGGCGGUUUGUCGCGUCGGGAGCGAAAAACACGGGGGCUUAACUCUGUGCUUGCUUCCGAUACGGGCAGACUAGAGGGGAUGCAGGGGGAGAACGGAAUUCCUGGUGUAGCGGUGGAAUGCGCAGGAUAUCAGGAGGAACACCGGUGGCGA
rnacentral:rRNA from 1 species